GAUGAACGCUAGCUACAGGCUUAACACAUGCAAGUCGCGGGGCAGCAUGGGGGUUGCUUGCAAUCCCCGAUGGCGACCGGCGCACGGGUGGGUAACGCGUAUCCAACCUGCCCUUCACCACGGGAUAACCCGGCGAAAGUCGGACUAAUACCGUAUGUUGUCCAUUGACGGCAUCCGAUUUGGACGAAAGGCUUGGCGGUGAGGGAUGGGGAUGCGUCCGAUUAGCCAGACGGCGGGGUAACGGCCCACCGUGGCUACGAUCGGUAGGGGUUCUGAGAGGAAGGUCCCCCACACUGGAACUGAGACACGGUCCAGACUCCUACGGGAGGCAGCAGUGAGGAAUAUUGGUCAAUGGGCGUAAGCCUGAACCAGCCAAGUAGCGUGCAGGAUGACGGCCCUAUGGGUUGUAAACUGCUUUUAUGCGGGGAUAAAGUGGCCCACGUGUGGGCUUUUGCAGGUACCGCAUGAAUAAGGACCGGCUAAUUCCGUG
rnacentral:rRNA from 1 species